rnacentral:rRNA from 1 species
GCGCGAAAACUCCACAAUGCACGAAUGUGUGAUGGGGUCAUCCCGAGUGCUGUCCGUUGAGGAUAGCUUUUACUCAGUGUAAGGAACUGGGAGAAUAAAGGGGGGGCAAGUCUGGUGUCAGCCGCCGCGGUAAUACCAGCCCCCUGAGUGGUAGGGACGAUUAUUUGGCCUAAAGCGUCCGUAGCCUGCUCUGCAAGUCUUUCGUUAAAUCUAACGAUUCAAUCGUUAGGUCGCGUAAGAUACUGCUGGGCUCGAGGAUGGGAGAGGUCGACGGUAGUCCUAGGGUAGGGGUGAAAUCCUAUAAUCCUUGGAGGACCACCAGUGGCGAAGGCGGUCGACUAGAACAUGCCUGACGGUGAUGGACGAAAGCUGGGGGAGCGAACCGGAUUAGACACCCGGGUAGUCCCAGCUGUAAACGAUGCGGGCUAGGUGUUGGAACAGCUACGAGCUGCUCCAGUGCCGCAGAGAAGUCGUUAAGCCCGCCGCCUGGGAAGUACGGUCGCAAGACUG